rnacentral:rRNA from 1 species
AACGAACGCUGGCGGCAUGCCUAACACAUGCAAGUCGAACGAGACCUUCGGGUCUAGUGGCGCACGGGUGCGUAACGCGUGGGAACCUGCCCUUAGGUUCGGAAUAACUCCCCGAAAGGGGUGCUAAUACCGGAUAAUGUCUUCGGACCAAAGAUUUAUCGCCUUUGGAUGGGCCCGCGUUGGAUUAGCUAGUUGGUAGGGUAAAAGCCUACCAAGGCGACGAUCCAUAGCUGGUCUGAGAGGAUGAUCAGCCACACUGGGACUGAGACACGGCCCAGACUCCUACGGAAGGAAGCAGUGGGGAAUAUUGGACAAUGGGCGAAAGCCUGAUCCAGAAAUGCCGCGUGAGUGAUGAAGGCCUGAGGGUUGUAAAGCUCUUUUACCCGGGAUGAUAAUGACAGUACCGGGAGAAUAAGCUCCGGCUAACUCCG